rnacentral:lncRNA from 1 species
GUGCUGGGAUUACACAUGUGAGCCAUCGCACCUGGCCAGAUAUUGUACGACCUUUCAUGAUCUAGCCUCAGAAGUCAGAGAGCAUCAUUUGUACCAUAAUCAUGAGGCCACUCAGAUUCAGGUGCAGGAGGCACAUCUCAUUGGCAGCAAGUCAAAAGUCACAUUGUAAGGAGAGCAGUUUUGGAAGCCUUUUCUGUCUGAGAACAUAUCUGAGGAAGUGAAGACAAUUUGGUGGAACAAGCACAUAAAUUAAAGCCAGUAACAUCAAAGAAAAAUACUGUCAGAGUUAUGCAGGUUUCUUUUUAAUUGGAAUUUAUAAUUGCUCCUAAUUAUAGGACAUACUUUAAAUGUUACUUUGAGAGGCUGAGGGAGGGGGUGGAGCCCUGUCCACUCUAGCCUCAUGAGCUAUAACCUUGACAUUUUAAUUAGAUAUUAUUUUGAAAUAUGUAAAAGGGAUUUACAUACUCGGUGAAACAUAUCAUUGACUGUGCAAUUUGCCCAAGAAGACAAAAUGAUACACAGUUUUAAAAAUAAUCAACUUCUCAAAGGAAUGGUAGAAAUUCUUAAGAGGGGUGAAAGCAACAAAAUAUGUCAGCAUUGUGUACACGUUCAGGUUUUCUAGUUUCCUCUGAGCAAAAUUUCUUCUUCUUCAUAGCAAGCCUGUGUCGGUGGCAGUGUGCAAACAAAGGGAAGUGCGUCCAGUUGAUUUAUGGGCCACACACACCCAUCCUGUAGAUAAAAAGGGAGGUCAGAAGAGAGUCGGGAAUCUUCUCUUUGAAGACAAUUUCUGGUGCCAUAUUACUUGACUACAGGAGGAUGAUUAAAACAAACCCUUAAGUCUCUUUCUCAUGAGAUGCCUUGCUUUUUUAUGCUUCAAUAAAUUAACAAUUUGGGACAAAAGUAAUAGGAGAGAUGGGACAAGACCAUCUUUCAAACUUUGCCAUCAUAAGUUAACUAGGGGUCUAACGACAUGGAAUUUAUUGCGGAUAUCCAGCAGUUGGGGAAACAUACUUAUAGAAUUUAUGGAAUUCUUCCAGGAAGGAAGAGAUGGAAUGGAGAGCCUCAUUGUUCUCCACCCAAAUUAAACAUUAUUGUAAUCUUUCAGAAUAUUGGGCUCUAUUCCAAACCCAAAAAUAGGGAGGAAGUAGAAGUGUCCUAAAUUAACUUUUGAAGAGGUUGAAACAGAAGGCUGGUGGUGAAAGGAGAGCUUUGCCAUACAUGAGGCUCUGGGUGCCAGACCCUACCCUGCCAUCCUGGGCAUUGUACUUGGAGACUUUGUAGGAACAAAGAUACCUACUUUGAGUGUUGGUUCUCUGGCAGAAUUUGGAAGGAAUGCCCUGAUUGUUGGGCUCCACUGUCCAUUGAAGGACUUACCACCAGGGUCAGGAUCUGAACUGGAGGAUGUGGUGGCCAUUGGAAUGCACAGCUUGCCCAGAGCCCCUCAUCUCAGGCCCAGCAGGCACCCUGGGCUUCAGCCAUGGCUGCACCAGAGAGGGGAAAUGUUUUCCAUCCCGUGUCAUGUCUAGGGCCCCAGUGAGGGGCACUCGCAUCAUUGCCUCCUCCAUCCCCAAGGGGAUUCCCCUUAACUAUGUCAUAGCAUAGAGAGAG